rnacentral:lncRNA from 1 species
AGCUAGGGGGUCCUGUGGCCGGAGGGGACCGGGCUGCCCCUCCCCACAUCCGGAGGAACCGGUGAGUGGUAGACUGUGCAAGGCAUUGUGGGAAAGGGGUAACUUCCCUCCCCCCUUCUACUUUUGGCUCGCGGGACCUCUUUUUUUUUUCCCCUCCACAGCCGCGGUGCAUGAUGGGAUUGUGGACUCCGCCGCGGUCCGCUAGCCGCAGAGCAUGCUGGGAAACGAAGGCUGGGGCCGGUUUAGCGCUUAGCUUGGCCUGGCGGGGGCGGUGGGGGGGCAGGCCUGACUAUUAUGGGAUGGGACCCCGGAAAAAGAGGAGGGGGUGGGUGGGGGGCUCCCCGCCAUCUCUCUCUCUCUCGUGUCCCGCUUCUGCUCCUCUUGCAGGUUGGGCCGCAGGCUUGUUUUGAGGGGUGGUGAUGUCCGAAGUACCCAAGCCGGUGGAAGUGGGCAGCUCUGAGGACAUUGGCUUUGAGGAGGAGGAUGGGACCUCGACUGGUAUUUCAGCCAUGCAGGAGGAAGAGGAAGAAUCGGAAGCAACCUCUGUAUCUUCUGGAGACAGUAGCCCUGCGACCCCAUCUGCCAAUGGCUAUCCAGGUCUGCAGAACAAAGAACCCAAACUGGCCACUGCUGGGGAACAGGUGGAUGAAGUUGGAGAGGGAGGGCAGGAUCGCCUCAGCUCCUCCCAGGCUCCUAGCCCCGAAUGGCAUGAAUGCCCCGAAUGCGGCCGUGGCUUCGGCACCUCUCGGGCCCUGAAGGUGCACCGUAGCUACCACGUGGGGCGCAAAAGGCCGCACAGUGGUUCCUCUUCAGCCAAGCCCUCCCCUCCGCUGACCUUGCUGGGAAACCCUGACAGCCAGGAAGGGCGGACGGGCCCGACUCCCGGCCGGGGCAGAGCCUUUCACUACAUCUGUGCCGAGUGCGGCGUGGGCUUCACCUCUCCCGCCACGCUGGAGGGCCAUCGCUGCGAACACAGUUGGCGCAGAAGCCCCCCAGCCCCUCCUCCUCGUAACAAGGUCGCUCCCUCUCUUGCUCCCAGGGAGGCUAACGGGGACCAGGACACAGACGGGGCUGACGGACCAUACCACUGCACCGAGUGCCCAGGCGAAUUUGGCUUGGUAUCCGAACUUCACGAGCACUACAUGCUCCAUGCUCGCGGAGAGCUGUAGAUCGGUCUUCAGCCCUCCCCCUUUCCCCCCGCCCCCCCCCAGCCCGCUUCCAAAUAUUUCCCUGUUGUGAUAGGUGGCCCCUGCUAAGGGAUCUGUCCUGCUAGGAUACUCAACAAGUGGAGAAAAAACAACAACCCUCCUUUACUUUUAGUUCCUUUAAAAAAAAAAAAAAAAAGAUACAUUUCCGUAUUUCUGAAAUGAAUUUAGCUUUGGAACGAGGAGACCGAGAGGCAGCACAUCACUUUUGUAUCCUGCCUCCCUGGCGGCGAGCGCAGUGACUUCAAAAACAACAACCACAACCACAAACCUCAGCUCAUUUGCAGGAAGUGAAGUUUCCCCUUUUUCCUUGCCCUUCAGUGAUCUGGAUCUGGCGGGCCCUAAAAUAUUCUAACCUCCCCCCCCCCAAAGGAGAUCCUGUUCAUGGACUUUUGUAACCGUAGCACUAGCAGGAAGUCCGUUUCAUUAACAGAACCAGAAUUAUCUUCUUCCAGGCCCAUCCCAAAGCGGGGGGAGACGGGGCCAGGAGAUAGUAAGAGACGAAUUGGAAUCGCUUGUCCUUGAGAUCCUGCUUCCCCAGACAGUCCCUUCUCAAGUCAGGCUCCCAUUUCCAUGGUCGUCAUGUUGGCAUCUGGGUGGCCCAUGCCGAAGUACAGAAGCUGUAUUCCGUUACGUGUGUGUGUGCGUGUGUGCGUGUUUGGCUUCUAGGGAAACAGCUCCGGGGAAUGGCCCCUGAUCCGCCUAAACUCAUGAAUUCUAACCAUAUCCCUUCCCAGGAGGAGCUGGAAAUAACGGUUUAAUAAAAACGAU